CAGUCGCCACGGGAAUACGGAGGGGGCUAGCGUUGCUCGGAAUGACUGGGCGUAAAGGGCGCGUAGGCGGUUUAUACAGUCAGAUGUGAAAUUCCUGGGCUCAACCUGGGGACUGCAUUUGAUACGUAUGGACUUGAGUGGAGAAGAGGGUCGUGGAAUUUCCAGUGUAGAGGUGAAAUUCGUAGAUAUUGGAAAGAACACCGGUGGCGAAGGCGGCGACCUGGUCUGUAACUGACGCUGAGGAGUGAAAGCGUGGGGAGCGAACAGGAUUAGAUACCCCGGUAGUCCCUGUCUCUUAUAC
rnacentral:rRNA from 1 species